rnacentral:rRNA from 1 species
UGCAAGUCGAGCGCACCUUCGGGUGAGCGGCGGACGGGUGAGUAACGCGUGGGAAUAUACCCUUUGGUACGGAAUAGCCUCUGGAAACGGAGAGUAAUACCGUAUGUGCCCUUCGGGGGAAAGAUUUAUCGCCAAAGGAUUAGCCCGCGUUGGAUUAGGUAGUUGGUGGGGUAAUGGCCUACCAAGCCGACGAUCCAUAGCUGGUUUGAGAGGAUGAUCAGCCACACUGGGACUGAGACACGGCCCAGACUCCUACGGGAGGCAGCAGUGGGGAAUCUUGGACAAUGGGGGAAACCCUGAUCCAGCCAUGCCGCGUGAGUGACGAAGGCCCUAGGGUCGUAAAGCUCUUUCGCUGGGGAAGAUAAUGACGGUACCCAGUAAAGAAACCCCGGCUAACUCCGUGCCAGCAGCCGCGGUAAUACGGAGGGGGUUAGCGUUGUUCGGAAUUACUGGGCGUAAAGCGCACGUAGGCGGAUCGGAAAGUUAGAGGUGAAAUCCCAGGGCUCAACCCUGGAACUGCCUUUAAAACUAUCGGUCUAGAGUUCGAGAGAGGUGAGUGGAAUUCCGAGUGUAGAGGUGAAAUUCGUAGAUAUUCGGAGGAACACCAGUGGCGAANGCGGCUCACUGGCUCGAUACUGACGCUGANGUGCGAAAGUGUGGGGAGCAAACAGGAUUAGAUACNCUGGUAGUCCACACCGUAAACGAUGAAUGCCAGACGUCGGGUAGCAUGCUAUUCGGUGUCACACCUAACGGNNUAAGCAUUCCGCCUGGGNNGUANNGUCGCAAGAUUAAAACUCAAANGAAUUGANGGNNCCGCACAAGCGGUGGANCAUGUNGUUUAAUU